rnacentral:rRNA from 1 species
GACGUAGGGGGCGAGCGUUGUUCGGAAUUAUUGGGCGUAAAGGGCAUGUAGGCGGUUCUGUAAGUCUGGCGUGAAAUGGUUCGGCUUAACCGAAUCCUGCGUCGGAAACUGCGGGACUAGAAUCACAGAGGGGAAAUCAGAAUUCCAGGUGUAGGGGUGAAAUCUGUAGAUAUCUGGAAGAAUACCAGUGGCGAAGGCGGAUUUCUGGCUGAUGAUUGACGCUGAGGUGCGAAAGUGCGGGGAGCAAACAGG